rnacentral:rRNA from 1 species
UGGGGAAUAUUGCACAAUGGGCGCAAGCCUGAUGCAGCAACGCCGCGUGAGGGAAGACGGUUUUCGGAUUGUAAACCUCUGUCUUUGGUGACGAAGAAGUGACGGUAGCCAAGGAGGAAGCCACGGCUAACUACGUGCCAGCAGCCGCGGUAAUACGUAGGGAGCGAGCGUUGUCCGGAUUUACUGGGUGUAAAGGGUGCGUAGGCGGGUUUGCAAGUCAGGCGUGAAAUACCGAGGCUCAACUUCGGAGCUGCGCUUGAAACUGUAGAUCUUGAGUGAAGUAGAGGCAAGCGGAAUUCCUAGUGUAGCGGUGAAAUGCGUAGAUAUUAGGAGGAACACCAGUGGCGAAGGCGGCUUGCUGGGCUUUAACUGACGCUGAGGCACGAAAGCAUGGGG